rnacentral:rRNA from 1 species
CCUACGGGGUGCAGCAGUGGGGAAUAUUGCACAAUGGGGGAAACCCUGAUGCAGCGACGCCGCGUGAGUGAAGAAGUAAUUCGUUAUGUAAAGCUCUAUCAGCAGGGAAGAAAAUGACGGUACCUGAGUAAGAAGCCCCGGCUAACUACGUGCCAGCAGCCGCGGUAAUACGUAGGGGGCAAGCGUUAGCGGGCUUUACUGGGUGUAACGGGAGCGUAGACGGCAGUGCAAGUCUGGAGUGAAAGGCGGGGGCCCAACCCCCGGACUGCUCUGGAAACUGUACGGCUGGAGUGCAGGAGAGGUAAGUGGAAUUCCUAGUGUAGCGGUGAAAUGCGUAGAUAUUAGGAGGAACACCAGUGGCGAAGGCGGCUUACUGGACUGUAACUGACGUUGAGGCUCGAAAGCGUGGGGAGCAAACAGGAUUAGAUACCCUUGUAGUC